UACGUAGGUGGCAAGCGUUGUUCGGAAUUAUUGGGCGUAAAGGGCGCGUAGGCGGUUUGUUAAGUCGGCUGUGAAAGCCCGGGGCUCAACCCCGGAGGGUCAGCCGAUACUGGCAGACUAGAGUACGGAAGAGGUAGCUGGAAUUCCCGGUGUAGCGGUGAAAUGCGCAGAUAUCAGGAGGAACACCAAUGGCGAAGGCAGCUCGCUGGGACGGUACUGACGCUGAGACGCGAAAGCGUGGGGAGCAAACAGG
rnacentral:rRNA from 1 species